rnacentral:rRNA from 1 species
AAUUCUCAGGCGCUUGAGAGAACUCGGGUGAAGGAACUAGGCAACAUGGCACCGUAACUUCGGGAGAAGGUGCACCCUUUUUGGUGGCGCGUGCGCGUUAUAGCUGAAGAGGGUCGCAGAAACCAGG